rnacentral:antisense_RNA from 1 species
AAAGGAGCCGCGUCCCCGAGGUGAGGGAGCGUCUGUAAACUCCCCUUCGGGGUGCCCGCGUCCAUCCGAGGACACGCCGGCAAGCAGCGGGGGAAAAAGGAAGCCGAGAUCUCCAAAGGCUCCCCGGAUGUCUGGCGGUCACCUCUCCAGCCACAGGUCCCAGAGGUUUCCUUGGGGUCAGGUCCUGGGGCCGGGGGCCAAAGACCACUGAGGCCUAAGGAUCCUCUGAAGCGACGCAGGACGGUGACGCUCCCGCGAGUUCAGCGCCCUGUGAAACCCCUUGCAAUUGGCCAGUUCGGGGCGGUAGGCGGGGACACCUUGUCAUCCGCCCAAUGAGCUGACCCCGUACAAAAGGCCGAAUGCGAGCAUGACCGACGGGAGGAGAAGUGUGGAUGCUCCCUAAUCCGGGGGCUGGCCCUGGGCCGGGGCGCGGGCGGGUCGUGGGGGACUGCGAGCGGCGGGGGCGGGGGCGGGGCGAGCCCGUGGGGGAGGGGCGCUUCCGGACCCCCCUCCCGCCCACGCAACAAGCAGGACCGGGUCGGAAGGCCCCCAGACCCGCGAGCGCGCGGGACAGUCCGUUCGCCAACGCGCAACCGUGCUGGCCCCCGGGCUCUCCCGGCCCCCCCGCCCGCAUUUCGCCGACGGCGGGGCCGCAGCCAAGGUCACGGUGUCCGGGUGCUUGGGGACCGCGGGGAGUGACCACAUUCAUUCAUUCCCUCCCUCACUCAUUCAUUCAUUCCCUCCCCUACUCCGUCAUUCCCUCCCUCACUCACUAAUUCCCUCCCUCACUCACUAAUUCCCUCCCUCCCUCAUUCAUUCGAUCCCUCCAUCACUCAAUCAUUCCUUCCCUCCCUCACUCAUUCCCUCCCUCACUUACUCAUUCAUUCCCACUUACUCAUUCCCUCCCUCACUCACUCAUUCCCUCCCUCACUCAUUCCCUCCCUCCCUCAUUCAUUCCCUCCCUCCCUCACUCACUCAUUCCCUCCCUCACUGAUUCCCUCCCUCACUGAUUCAUUCAUUCCCUCCAUCACUCAUUCAUUCCUUCCCUCACUCACUCAUUCCCUCCCUCACUCAUUUCCUCUCUCAUUCAUUCAUUCCCUCCCUCCCUCACUCAUUCCCACUCUCACAAACUCAUUCCCUCCCUCACUCAUUCCUCCCUCAUUCAUUCCCUCCCUCAUUCGUUCAUUCCCUCCCUCCCUCAUUCCCUCCCUCCCUCAUUCAUUCAUUCCCUCCCUCACUCAUUCAUUCCCACCCUCCCUCAUUCAUUCCCUGCCUCCCUCACUCAUUCCCUCCCUCACUCAUUCAUUCCCUCCCUCCCUCACUGAUUCUCUCCCUUAUUCAUUCCAUCCCUCACUCAUUCCCUUCCUCCCUCAUUCACUUCCUCCCUCACUCAUUCAUUCACUCCCUCCCUCAUUCAUUCAUUCCCUCCCUCCCUCACUCAUUCCCUCCCUUACUCAUUUAUUCCAUCCCUCACUCAUUGCCUCCCUCCCUCAUUCCCUCCCUCUCCCUCAUUCAUUCAUUCCCUCCCUCAUUCAUUCCCUCCCUCAUUCAUUCCCUCCCUCACUCAUUCCCUCCCUCACUCAUUCAUUCCCUCCCUCACUCAUUCCCUUCCUCCCUCAUUCAUUCAUUUCCUCCCUCACUCAUGCAUUAAUUCCCUCCCUCACUCACUCAUUCCCUCCCUCACUCAUUCACUCCCUCCCUCCCUCACUCAUUCCCCCACCACCUCCCACAGGGUCCCCAGCGGGCAUUUCCCUGGCAGGCACCUGCAGCAGGAGGGGCAGCCACACACCCCGGGUCUGCCUGCCUGGGAGGCGCAGCCGUGGGGAUGUGGGCCCAGGGCAGCAGGGGCGGCCUCCCCCAGAAUCCAGUCCCUGGAAGCCACGCACCGCCCUGUCCCACCAAGACCAGCAGGGGCCUGGCCUGGCUGCAACUCCCAGGCUCAGAGCCUCCGUGGCCUGUCUAGACACCUGCUGUCCCAGCCCCCAGCCUUGAGGUCCUGGGAAUCUGCUUUUUUUUUUUCCUCUUUUUUGUGAGAUGGAGUCUCACUGUGUUGCCCAGGCUAGAGUGCAGUGGCGCCAUCUUGGCUUACUGCAACCUCCACCUCCUGAGUUCAAGCGAUCCUCCUGCCUCAGCCUCCCGAGUAGCUGGGAUUACAGGCAUGCACCACCACACCCGGCUAAUUUUUGUAUUUUUAAUAGAGACGGGGUUUCACCGUGUUGGCUAGGCUGGUCUCAAACUCCUGACUUCAAGUGAUCUGCCCACCUCGGCCUCCCAAAGUGCUGGGAUUACAGGUGUGGACCACCACGCCCAGCUGAAAUCUGCAUUCUUAACCAGCCCCCUGGGCAAGCCUGGCAGAGGGAUAUGGCCCUUUGGCUUCCUGACAUAAGCUAAGGUUCCAACGCCAUCUUUCUGGCGAAGAUGCCAGCACAGGGCUGUGUGGGGAGGCGUCAGCCAGUAAAAGCCGUGGCUGAAGAAAAGCAAGACAGCCACGGGCCUCGGUGGAUCCCGCUGCAGCCUCAGGCACAGAGAGGGCAGGGCUGGUGAGGUGGGGGGCUUGUCAUGAGUGGGGCUUGGGGAGACCGACUGGAUGUGGUGUGUGGCUGGGGAGGGCCUGGGCCUGAACCUGUGGGCCAUGGGAGCCAUAGAAGGUUGUGGAACAGGAGAAGUAAGACAAGGCCCUGGUUCCCUGUGUGUCUGUGGUGAGGGAUUGAGGAGACAUGGCUCAGGCACUCAGAGAAUUCCUGUCUUGGUGGGAAGUAGUGCCAGGAGGGGCUGGGGUUUGGGGAGGCUGUGGCAGGUGAGGCUGAGGGACAUGGAGCAGGUAGGGGUGAGGGGCAUGGAGCAGGUGGGGGUGAGGGGCAUGGAGCAGGUGGGGGAGGGAAGAGGCUCCCUCAGUUGUGCAUCCUCAGCCCAGAAGUGUCCUUUGAGCAGCCUGCACCUGGCACACGUUUUCAAGGAGAGGGGACUUGUUGGGUCCAGCUCCCUGGGGACAAAGGAGAAACUGAGGCUUGGAGAGGGUGGGGGGUUUGAAUCAGUAACUAUAAGAUCCUGGGCAAGGCUUGUGGCUGACUGUGCCAGGCACGCGCCCACCUUUGCCCCGGUCCCCUUGGGAGGGGAGCAGGAAGUGUGAUGCGGAGCUGCCUGCGGUAGGGCGGGACCUCCAGUGCCCUGGGUGCCCCCUCCGGGGCCUGCUGGGGCCAGGCUCUGCACAGGGGUUUGAGAGCAGAGGCCUCUUCACUGAGGGCCGAUUCCCCCAGAGGAAUAAGGGCCUCUGCAGUAGAGUGAAGGUGGACCCUUACCCCGGAGCACGCACAAAAACCAGCUCAAAAGUCAGCCUCAGGCCAGGCGCGGUGGCUCACGCCGGUAAUCCCAGGACUUUGGGAGGCUGAGUAGGGCAGAUCGCUCGAGCUCAGGAGUUUGAGACCAGCCUGCCCAACAUGGUGAAACCCUGUCUCUACUAAAAAUGCAAAAAUUAGUUGGGUGUGGUGGUGCACGCCUGUAAUUCCAGCUACUUCGAAGGCUGAGGCAGGAGAAUCUCCUAAACAUGGGAGGCAGAGGUUGCAGUGAGCCGAGAUGGCAUCACUGCACUCCAGCUUGGGCGACAGAACGAGACUCCAUUUAAAAAGAAAAAGAAAAAAAAAAU